rnacentral:lncRNA from 1 species
ACCCUAAAGGGAAGAUCCUGAGGCCACCAUCGCAGCCGAGGUCACCUCGCUGGAGAUGAGCGCUCAACACUAAUGAUCCAGUGCCGUAGGAAAAUGACACAGGGAACUGUACUCGUGACUACAGAGGAGAUAAGUGGAGGUGCAGUGGAUUUGGUCCUUCCUCAGCGGUGUUGUGAAAGCACUUCCUCUUCCUCCCCCCGUGAGCCCCGGGCUCAAGUCAGACCGAUGGAGAGAGCAGCACGGAGCAACCAGACAGCGCAUCCCGCUCCCGGGCAGUCCGGCUCAGAGCCCUCGGUACCCCCU